UGGCUCAGGACGAACGCUGGCGGCGUGCUUCAUACAUGCAAGUCGAACGAGAAUCUGGCUUCGGUCAGAGGAAAGUGGCGGACGGGUGAGUAAAAUGUAGAGAAUCUGCCCUAGAGAGUGGGACAACAGAGGGAAACUUCUGCUAAUACCGCAUAUGCGCGUAGUUGGGAUACUAUUCGUGAAAACUCCGGUGCUCUGGGAUGAGUCUGCAUCUGAUUAGCUAGUAGGCGGUGUAAUGGACCACCUAGGCGACGAUCAGUAGCUGGUUUGAGAGGAUGAUCAGCCACAAUGGGACUGAGACACGGCCCAUACUCCUACGGGAGGCAGCAGUAGGGAAUUUUGCGCAAUGGGGGAAACCCUGACGCCAGCAACGCCGCGUGAUUGAGGAAGCCCUUCGGGGUGUAAAGAUCUGUCAGUGGGGACGAAACUUGACGGUACCCACAGAGGAAGCAUCGGCUAACUCCGUGCCAGCAGCCGC
rnacentral:rRNA from 1 species